rnacentral:rRNA from 1 species
AUACAGAGGGUGCGAGCGUUAAUCGGAAUUACUGGGCGUAAAGCGCGCGUAGGCGGCUUAUUAAGUCAGAUGUGAAAUCCCCGGGCUCAACCUGGGAACUGCAUCUGAUACUGGUAAGCUAGAGUUUUGGAGAGGGAAGUAGAAUUUCAGGUGUAGCGGUGAAGUGCAUAGAGAUCUGAAGGAAUACCAGUGGCGAAGGCGACUUCCUGGCCAAAAACUGACGCUGAGGUGCGAAAGCGUGGGUAGCAAACGGGAUUAGAAACCCUAGUAGUCC